UUCGGCUUAGAGUUUGAUCCUGGCUCAGAUUGAACGCUNCGGGCAUNCCUUUACACAUNCAAGUCGAACGGCAGCACNGGGACCAAUCCUGGUGGCGAGUGGCGAACGGGUGAGUAAUAUAUCGGAACGUGCCCAGUCGUGGGGGAUAACGCAGCGAAAGCUGUGCUAAUACCGCAUACGAUCUAAGGAUGAAAGCGGGGGAUCGCAAGACCUCGCGCGAUUGGAGCGGCCGAUAUCAGAUUAGGUAGUUGGUGGGGUAAAAGCCCACCAAGCCGACGAUCUGUAGCUGGUCUGAGAGGACGACCACGCCACACUGGAACUGAGACACGGUCCAGACUCCUACGGGAGGCAGCAGUGGGGAAUUUUGGACAAUGGGCGCAAGCCUGAUCCAGCAAUGCCGCGUGCAGGAUGAAGGCCUUCGGGUUGUAAACUGCUUUUGUACGGAACGAAACGGUCUG
rnacentral:rRNA from 1 species